CAUACCACACUACCCUUUUAAAAACUAUCCUAUAUGUUAGAUGCUUAUUGCAUAGCCUAAUUUUGUUUUCUCAUGGUGCAGCAGGGUUAGUUUCUUGUGUACCUCUAGAUAUAUAUUCUCUUGCUGCCUAGGGUUCCCAAGCUGCCCAUUUUUUUUUUAAAACUGUUCCCCAAACACCCAUCCAAUAAGAAAGGUCUACUUUGUAGCUCAAAGCUAUUAGAGUUGUGCUCGCGUCUUGGUUUUACUG